AGUGAACGCUGGCGGCGUGCUUAACACAUGCAAGUCGAACGAGAACGGGUUAUAGCUUGCUAUAAUUGUCAGCUAAGUGGCGCACGGGUGAGUAAUGUAUAGGUAAUAAGCCUCUUAUUAAGGGAUAACAAAUGGAAACGUUUGCUAAUACCUUAUACUCCUUAUUAACAUAAGUUAAUAAGGGAAAGAUUUAUUGGUAAGAGAUUAGCCUGUAUUGUAUCAGUUAGUUGGUGGGGUAAUGGCUUACCAAGACUAUGACACAUAACUGGUUUGAGAGGAUGAUCAGUCACACUGGAACUGAGACACGGUCCAGACUCCUACGGGAGGCAGCAGUGGGGAAUAUUGCACAAUGGACGAAAGUCUGAUGCAGCAACGCCGCGUGGAGGAUGACACAUUUCGGUGCGUAAACUCCUUUUAUAUGAGAAGAUAAUGACGGUAUUAUAUGAAUAAGCACCGGCUAACUCCGUGCCAGCCGCCGCCGUAA
rnacentral:rRNA from 1 species